rnacentral:sRNA from 1 species
GCUGCUAAUCUAUCUAUCGCUGCUAAUCUAUCGCCGCUGCCAAUCUAUCCCUCACUGCUAAGCUAUCCCUCGCUGCUAAGCUAUCACUGCCAAUCUAUCGCUGCUAAUCUAUCGCUGCCAACCUAUCUACCGCGGCGAAUCUAUCUAUCGCUGCCAAUUUAUCUACCACUGCCAAUCUAUCUAUCGCUGCCAAUCUAUUGCUGCUAAUCUAUCGCUGCUAAUCUAUCGCUGCUGCCAAUCUAUCUAUCGCUGCUAAUCUAUCGCCGCUGCCAAUCUAUCCCUCGCUGCUAAGCUAUCCCUCACUGCUAAGCUAUCUCUCACUGCUAAGCUAUCCCUCGCUGCUAAGCUAUCCCUCGCUGCUAAGCUAUCCCUCACUACUAAGCUAUCUAUCACUGCUAAUCUAUCGCUGCUAAUCUAUCGCUGCUAAUCUAUCGCUGCCAACCUAUCUACCGCGGCGAAUCUAUCUAUCACUAUCAUUACUAGUUCAAAAUAGAACUAGAGCAUAAAUACACUAAACUUCUUUUGAUAGGUAAUGAUUUUUGAUAACACUCAUAGCAUUAUAUCAUCUAUAUAGGGUAAAUCAUGGUCCCAUUUGGUCCCAUUUUGUUAAAAUGGGACCAAAUGAGAUCAGAAUCAGUAAUUUAUAAGAAGAACAUGACCUGGGACUAGAUUUAUAAUAUAAACAGUGUAAAGUGACUAAUUUAAUAAACACUAUAUGAGACC